GAUGAACGCUAGCGGGAGGCUUAAUACAUGCAAGUCGAACGGUAACAGGAUUUUUCGGAAUUGCUGACGAGUGGCGCACGGGUGAGUAACGCGUACGUACCUACCUUAUACUGGGGAACACAUACUGGAAACGGAGUAAAUGCCCCAUAGUCUCGCAAGAGUAAAGCUUCGGCGGUAUAAGAUGGACGUGCGUUAGAUUAGCUAGUUGGUGAGGUAACGGCUUACCAAGGCGACGAUCUAUAGGGGGCGUGAGAGCGUGAUCCCCCACACGGGUACUGAGACACGGACCCGACUCCUACGGGAGGCAGCAGUAAGGAAUAUUGGACAAUGGACGGAAGUCUGAUCCAGCCAUCCCGCGUGCAGGAUGAAGGCGCUCAGCGUUGUAAACUGCUUUUAUUUACCAAGAAACGCCUUGACGUGUCAGGGCCUGACGGUAGUAGAUGAAUAAGCACCGGCUAACUCCG
rnacentral:rRNA from 1 species